CCCGGGUGGCAGCAGUGAGGAAUAUUGGUCAAUGGGCGUAAGCCUGAACCAGCCAAGUCGCGUGAGGGAUGAAGGUUCUAUGGAUCGUAAACCUCUUUUAUAAGGGAAUAAAGUGUGGGACGUGUCCUGUUUUGUAUGUACCUUAUGAAUAAGGAUCGGCUAACUCCGUUCCAGCCGCCGCGGUAAUACGGAGGAUCCGAGCGUUAUCCGGAUUUAUUGGGUUUAAAGGUUGCGUAGGCGGCCUUUUAAGUCAGCGGUGAAAGUCUGUGGCUCAACCAUAGAAUUGCCGUUGAAACUGGGAGGCUUGAGUAUGUUUGAGGCAGGCGGAAUGCGUGGGGUAGCGGUGAAAUGCUUAGAUAUCACGCAGAACCCCGAUUGCGAAGGCAGCCUGCCAAGCCAUGACUGACGCUGAUGCACGAAAGCGUGGGGAUCAAACAGGAUUAGAUACCCUUGUAGUC
rnacentral:rRNA from 1 species